rnacentral:rRNA from 1 species
AUGAUUAUCACACCUAGGGGAGGCCAUUUGAUUUCUAAGGUGAGUGACUUAAUUGAUCCAUCAACGGGUCAGUGGGAUGUCGACCUUGUUGAGCAAACCUUUUGGCCCAUUGAUGCAGUAAGAGUUCUUGCUAUACCAUUAUCGACAAACGAUAUGACUGAUUUUAUUGCUUGGAGUCUGAAUAAGCAUGGAAACUUUACUGUCAAAUCGGCUUACCAUACUGUCUGGGAUUACCAACAUGGACGUAAACUAUGGAAAAUUGAUGGUUUGGGCGCCUCAGGCGCUAACCCAACAUGGCAAAAAGUUUGGAAACUUAACUGUCCAGCAAAGGUAAAAAUCUUUCUCUGGCGAACACUACAUGGAACUAUGCCUUGUAAUGUUGUUCUUGCAAAUCGUCAUAUACCUGUUAGACCGGCGUGUCCAGCAUGUGGCCGAAGUGCGGAAGAUGUUUUGCAUGUGUUGUUUCGAUGCAAAAAAGCCAAGGAAGUGUGGCGCCUCCUAGGACUAGAAGAUGUUAUAGCGCAUGCAUGCAAAGUGGAUCGAGCGGGGGAAGCAAUACUUGCUUAUUUGCUGAAUUUUCCCGCACAGGAGGCGGUCGUUCUAGGCGUUAAAAAUUUCUAUGAGCUCAUGUCUAUCACUUGCUGUUAUCUUUGGUGGGAAAGACGGAAACUAGUUCACAAGGAGCAUGUGCUAAGAUGCGAAAAGAAUUUCACAAUCUGUGAGAGCGAUGGCAGAAAAUGUUGUUAUUGCAUGUGA